UACGUAGGGUGCGAGCGUUGUCCGGAAUUACUGGGCGUAAAGAGCUCGUAGGUGGUUUGUCGCGUUGUUCGUGAAAACUCACAGCUUAACUGUGGGCGUGCGGGCGAUACGGGCAGACUGGAGUGAUGCAGAGGUCGAUGGAAUUGCCGGUGUAGUGGUGAAAUGCGUAGAGAUCGGCAGGAACACCCAGGGGGAAACCAGUCGACUGGGCAUCUACUGACGCUGAGGUGCGAGAGCGUGGGGAGCGAACCGG
rnacentral:rRNA from 1 species